CUCUGGGAUUAGAUACCCUGUUAUUCCGCAGCUGAAAUCCGUCAUUUUUACUGCCUGGGAACUACGAGGGAACCCUUAAAACCCGAGGGACUUGGCGGUGCACUAUACCCCCCAGGGGAACCUGGCCCUUAAUUCGAUGAUCCACGAAUCUCUUACCUUUUCUUGUUUAGGCAUGCCCUCUGAGGCAUGCUUCUGUCAGUUUGCAUACCGCCGUUUUCAGCUUGUAUCGUGAGAUGAAAGAAACAGGCUAAUCAGUAUUGUGGCUGUGGCUUGGAAUUAGCCAAGUGAUGGCACUGCUAGGAAUUCAGGUAAACGUGUAGCCAAUGGAAAGGGGGUGCUGGGUUACAGUUGAAGUUUUAAGUGGAGAAUAGCCUGAAAAGGCAUUUGAAAGAGUACUUGGAAGUAAUGACUUUGGGCAAUGAAGUCGUGAAUAGUGCUCUGGUGUGUGUACCAAUCGCCCGUCACUCUCU
rnacentral:rRNA from 1 species